AAAACCAUACUUUCAAGGAUCAUUUCUAUAGUUCAUUACUAGAGAAGUUUCUCUGAAUGUGUAGAGCGCCUGAAAUCACGAGGAGGAGGUGUGCAGUGUUUUCUCCUGAGGGUGAAGCCAGCUUCUGGUAUUGCUUAUGCAACUGCCUUUGGCCAUUGAUGAUGAUUCUUCUCUCUCACUGGGGGAGUCAGAGGGAGAAAAUGAAGUCUGAGUGGU